rnacentral:rRNA from 1 species
AUAAUGGGUCAGCGACUUAUAUUCUGUAGCAAGGUUAACCGAAUAGGGGAGCCGAAGGGAAACCGAGUCUUAACUGGGCGUUAAGUUGCAGGGUAUAGACCCGAAACCCGGUGAUCUAGCCAUGGGCAGGUUGAAGGUUGGGUAACACUAACUGGAGGACCGAACCGACUAAUGUUGAAAAAUUAGCGGAUGACUUGUGGCUGGGGGUGAAAGGCCAAUCAAACCGGGAGAUAGCUGGUUCUCCCCGAAAGCUAUUUAGGUAGCGCCUCGUGAAUUCAUCUCCGGGGGUAGAGCACUGUUUCGGCAAGGGGGUCAUCCCGACUUACCAACCCGAUGCAAACUGCGAAUACCGGAGAAUGUUAUCACGGGAGACACACGGCGGGUGCUAACGUCCGUCGUGAAGAGGGAAACAACCCAGACCGCCAGCUAAGGUCCCAAAGUCAUGGUUAAGUGGGAAACGAUGUGGGAAGGCCCAGACAGCCAGGAUGUUGGCUUAGAAGCAGCCAUCAUUUAAAGAAAGCGUAAUAGCUCACUGGUCGAGUCGGCCUGCGCGGAAGAUGUAACGGGGCUAAACCAUGCACCGAAGCUGCGGCAGCGACGCUGAUGCGUUGUUGGGUAGGGGAGCGUUCUGUAAGCCUGUGAAGGUGUGCUGUGAGGCAUGCUGGAGGUAUCAGAAGUGCGAAUGCUGACAUAAGUAACGAUAAAGCGGGUGAAAAGCCCGCUCGCCGGAAGACCAAGGGUUCCUGUCCAACGUUAAUCGGGGCAGGGUGAGUCGACCCCUAAGGCGAGGCCGAAAGGCGUAGUCGAUGGGAAACAGGUUAAUAUUCCUGUACUUGGUGUUACUGCGAAGGGGGGACGGAGAAGGCUAUGUUGGCCGGGCGACGGUUGUCCCGGUUUAAGCGUGUAGGCUGGUUUUCCAGGCAAAUCCGGAAAAUCAAGGCUGAGGCGUGAUGACGAGGCACUACGGUGCUGAAGCAACAAAUGCCCUGCUUCCAGGAAAAGCCUCUAAGCAUCAGGUAACAUCAAAUCGUACCCCAAACCGACACAGGUGGUCAGGUAGAGAAUACCAAGGCGCUUGAGAGAACUCGGGUGAAGGAACUAGGCAAAAUGGUGCCGUAACUUCGGGAGAAGGCACGCUGAUAUGUAGGUGAAGUCCCUCGCGGAUGGAGCUGAAAUCAGUCGAAGAUACCAGCUGGCUGCAACUGUUUAUUAAAAACACAGCACUGUGCAAACACGAAAGUGGACGUAUACGGUGUGACGCCUGCCCGGUGCCGGAAGGUUAAUUGAUGGGGUCAGCGCAAGCGAAGCUCUUGAUCGAAGCCCCGGUAAACGGCGGCCGUAACUAUAACGGUCCUAAGGUAGCGAAAUUCCUUGUCGGGUAAGUUCCGACCUGCACGAAUGGCGUAAUGAUGGCCAGGCUGUCUCCACCCGAGACUCAGUGAAAUUGAACUCGCUGUGAAGAUGCAGUGUACCCGCGGCAAGACGGAAAGACCCCGUGAACCUUUACUAUAGCUUGACACUGAACAUUGAGCCUUGAUGUGUAGGAUAGGUGGGAGGCUUUGAAGUGUGGACGCCAGUCUGCAUGGAGCCGGCCUUGAAAUACCACCCUUUAAUGUUUGAUGUUCUAACGUUGACCCGUGAUCCGGGUUGCGGACAGUGUCUGGUGGGUAGUUUGACUGGGGCGGUCUCCUCCUAAAGAGUAACGGAGGAGCACGAAGGUUGGCUAAUCCUGGUCGGACAUCAGGAGGUUAGUGCAAUGGCAUAAGCCAGCUUGACUGCGAGCGUGACGGCGCGAGCAGGUGCGAAAGCAGGUCAUAGUGAUCCGGUGGUUCUGAAUGGAAGGGCCAUCGCUCAACGGAUAAAAGGUACUCCGGGGAUAACAGGCUGAUACCGCCCAAGAGUUCAUAUCG